rnacentral:rRNA from 1 species
GAUGAACGCUAGCGGCAGGCUUAACACAUGCAAGUCGAGGGGUAUAGUAGCAAUACUAGAGACCGGCGCACGGGUGCGUAACGCGUAUGCAAUCUACCUUAUACAGGGGGAUAGCCCAGAGAAAUUUUGGAUUAAUACCCCAUAGUGUUACGGAGUGGCAUCACACUGUAACUAAAGUUCCAACGGUAUAAGAUGAGCAUGCGUCCCAUUAGCUAGUUGGUGUGGUAACGGCACACCAAGGCAACGAUGGGUAGGGGUCCCUGAGAGGGAGAUCCCCCCANACUGGUACUGAGACACGGACCAGACUCCUACGGGAGCAGCAGUGAGGAAUACUUGGGUCAAAUGGGGCGCAAAGCCUGAACCAGCCAUGCCGCGUGCAGGAUGACGGUCCUAUGGA